rnacentral:misc_RNA from 1 species
UCCGGUUUGUCACCGGCAGUCUCAUUAGAGUGCUCAACUGAAUGUAGCAACUAAUGACAAGGGUUGCGCUCGUUGCGGGACUUAACCCAACAUCUCACGACACGAGCUGACGACAGCCAUGCAGCACCUGUGUCCAGGUUCCCUUUCGGGCACCCCUCCAUCUCUGAAGGGUUCCUGGCAAGUCAAGGGUAGGUAAGGUUCUGCGCGUUGCGUCGAAUUAAACCACAUGCUCCACCGCUUGUGCGGGCCCCCGUCAAUUCAUUUGAGUUUUAGCCUUGCGGCCGUACUCCCCAGGCGGUCAACUUCACGCGUUAGCUUCGUUACCAAGGAAUUACUUCCCCGACAACCAGUUGACAUCGUUUAGGGCGUGGACUAC